rnacentral:rRNA from 1 species
AUACGAAGGGUGCAAGCGUUAAUCGGAAUUACUGGGCGUAAAGCGCGCGUAGGUGGUUCGUUAAGUUGGAUGUGAAAGCCCCGGGCUCAACCUGGGAACUGCAUCCAAAACUGGCGAGCUAGAGUAUGGCAGAGGGUGGUGGAAUUUCCUGUGUAGCGGUGAAAUGCGUAGAUAUAGGAAGGAACACCAGUGGCGAAGGCGACCACCUGGGCUAAUACUGACACUGAGGUGCGAAAGCGUGGGGAGCAAACAGGAUUAGAAACCCCAGUAGUCC